UCAUCCGUAGUAUAGUGGUCAGUAUGUGAGCUUGUCAUCAUCUUCUCCUUGGAGAGGAAGCGAUUCGCUCGAGACCCGGGUUCAAUUCCCGGCGGGAGAG